rnacentral:rRNA from 1 species
CACCGCCCGUCACAUCACGAAAGUGGGUUGUACUAGAAAUCGCCGAGCUAACCCGCAAGGGAGGCAAGCGCUUAAGGUAUGAUCCAUGAUUGGGGUG